rnacentral:rRNA from 1 species
AUUGAACGCUGGCGGAAUGCUUUACACAUGCAAGUCGAACGAGAACGGAUUAUAGCUUGCUAUAAUUGUCAGCUAAGUGGCGCACGGGUGAGUAAUAUAUAGAUAACCUGCCCUCAAGAAAGGAAUAACAGUUGGAAACGACUGCUAAUGCCCUAUAUGCCUUUAAUACAUAAGUAUGCAAGGGAAACGCUUUAGUGCUUGAGGAUGGGUCUGUAUGGUAUCAGCUUGUUGGUGAGGUAAUGGCUCACCAAGGCUAUGACGCCUAACUGGUUUGAGAGGAUGAUCAGUCACACUGGAACUGAGACACGGUCCAGACUCCUACGGGAGGCAGCAGUGGGAAUAUUGUCACAAUGGACGAAAGUCUGAUGCAGCAACGCCGCGUGGAGGAUGACACAUUUCGGUG